rnacentral:rRNA from 1 species
UCGAGGAUCUUUUGCAAUGUCCGCAAGGAUGACAAUGCGACGCCGCGUGAGCGAUGAAGGCCUUCGGGUUGUAAAGCUCUGUCAGCUCGGAUGAAAGCCUUUGGUUGAAUAGGCCAAAGGUCUGACGCUACGGGCAGAGGAAGCUACGGCUAACUCCGUGCCAGCAGCCGCGGUAAUACGGAGGUAGCAAGCGUUGUUCGGAUUCACUGGGUGUAAAGGUCAUGUAGGCGUCUCAUUAAGUCGGGUGUGAAAUCCCUUGGCUCAACCAAGGAACUGCGCCCGAUACUGGAGAGACUGAGUACUUGAGAGGUAAGCGGAAUUCCGGAAGUAAGGGUGAAAUCUGUAGAUAUCCGGAAGAACACCAUUAGCGAAGGCGGCUUACUGGCAAGAUACUGACGCUGAAAUGAGAAAGCUAGGGGAGCAAACAGGAUUAGAUACCCUGGUAGUCCUAGCUGUAAACGAUGGGCACUAGGUGCAGGCCCGCAAGGGUCUGUGUCGGAGCUAACGCGUUAAGCGCCCCACCUGGGGACUACGGUCGCAAGGCUA